UUUACUCUGAAGUGUAGACACAAAAAUUGUAACUAUGAAGGAGGAAAAUGGCUAAAAAGUAUUUUCAGGUUUGUAGUCUCCUUCAGUUUCUACUGAAUUAGAUUUCUUUAGCAUAAAAAGAGGUGUAUUUUUCUGUGAGGUUGGAACAAUUGGCAUUGUUGACUUCUUAUGUCAGUAAUGAUGAACAUCUCAUUUUGUUAAUUUCAGUAGCAUUUUCAAAAGAAAAAAAUGUCAUCUGUUUCUGGUGCAUAGCUCUUUAAAUUUCAGGGAAGAAGUUCAGAUCAUGGCUCAAGUCAUGUUUUAGUGACUGUAAAGUAUUCAUUAGGAAAAAUGGCAAACAGUUUACAACUACUACAUGUGCUGGCAGGCUAUUGCCUCUAGCUUGGUAACAGUACUGUUGUGAUCUGAUAGUUGUGUUAUUGCCUGCAGUAUAGUCACUGACUCAGUAGGAGAACUUUGCUAACAAAAUCAAGUCAGAUGUUGCUAAAAGCCUGAACAAUAUGACAUGAAUUAAAAACUACAGACUGAUCUUCACAUGUACCAUAUAAUGACUAUUUACAACCUAAUGCCAAUGUGAAGAUUUUCUUUGUGUUAGUUUUGGGACUCUCAGGGAGCGAGGCUUUUGUAGUAAUGCUUGUCUUCGGUCACUGGAGAGGCAAGAGUUACAAAAACUGCUCCUGGAGUAGCUCAUAAAUAUCAAUAGGCCCAGUUUUCUGUGAAACCCUGUGGCAAGCAGUAUAAGUUUGAAAACAAGAGUGUCUUCUCUGGGCAAAAAUGGAUAAUGAAAUUGUCCUGCAAGUUGGAUGUGUGCUGUGAGCUGCCAGCUGGGCCCCUCCUCUAAAAAAGCGGAUUUAAAAUACUUUGUAUAUUUGCAACCCAAGGCAAAAAAUCUAUUUACAUUCCAAAGCAAACUCCCCCAACUCUGAAGGCUGAUACUUCCUCAUUUCUAUAGGGAGUAUGCCAAGCUAAAUCAUUUGCUCUUGCUGGCAGGACUGUUUUUAAAUUCCCAGGUGGAAACCUAAGGAAACCAGAUGUCAUUUGAAAAUUUAUUUCGUGAGAUAUUAAAAACAAAACAGAAAAGCAACACCACAGGAUGCAUCUCUCCAUGCAGAAGUUAAAAUGCAGUACAAAAAACAGUAGUACCCAAUUUGGUCUAGCUCAUUUAAAUUACAGUUAUUUUCAGGUGCUGCCACAGGGCAAGCUCACGGCAUGUUCUCUGGGCCCUGAGGAUAUCACCAGCCCUGAGCAUCCCUGCCCACCCUCCCAGGUCUCCCAGGUUCUUGCCUGCCCAGGCCCAGGCCCACACAUGAGCUCCUGAGUUGUCAGCGUGUCAAUCCCAGCCCUAGUGAGGUCACGGCAGGGCCAGGCUCCAGCAGCCUCCCCACAACCCAGCCAGGGGCCCGUACAUACUGAUGAUGGGCAUCUAUCAAUCUCAAGCAUGUCCUUAGAUCUUCUAACAGGACCGCUUUGACUGUCACUGCAGAUAUGGUUUAUGUGAAUCUGUAUGAACAGAUCUGAAUUUCACCCUGUUUGAUGAAUACUUUUUUAUACAUGCUGAGUGAAGGGUCAUGUAGGUGUAAUUAUAGAAAUGUAAAAUCAGCUUGAUAUAUUUGUUCUCUGCAGUUAUUUCUGAAAUAAUCUGGAAGGUCAUAAAGAUAAUUUGUAAAACAUGUGCCAGCUUGUAAAAAUGUUUGGGAGGGUGGAAGACCUAUUAGUUCUACCCUUAGCUUAUUUAUAUCCUUUCUGGACAGAGGAUGGGUAAGUAACUCUGAGUAUAUGUCCCUGGCUAAGAGUCAUAUCCUUAAAAUGUUGAAAACCAGGAAAUUAUUGUUUAUGAGGGAUAUAUGUUUCAUUUUUCUCACUGUUUUAUUGCCUUACAAAUCACGUUACAGGGAAAAGCAAAUAUUUUGAAACGUAAUUAAUAACUUUUGAGAGCUAAUGGAUUCAAAGAUGAGCUAUAGUAGUAAUUGGUUGCAUUGAGACAUUAAUGUUUUGUAAAGCUGCCCUGACUGUUUUUCCAUUACUACCCCUUGGUAAUGUACAAGUCAAUUUAUCUUUCAAAUGUUCUUUAAAUAUGCUCAGAGCUUUUCCUCCCUCUUCAGGCACAUUGUGAGUGUCUAUCUAUAGUUUCCUCUGUGAAGCUUCAAGGGUGACCAUUCAGUGAAAGCAAGAGUCUCUUCCUACUGAAAGAUGCAGAAGUAAUUAUUAGUAAUGUUGCUUCUUUUCACUGUCUGUUUCCAUGGGGCAUUAAAUGAUAAUCAUAAGUUAUGUAGGUGAUUUAAAGCAGGAGUCCACAAGCCUCAUGGCACAGAUACAGGAAUGCGCAUCCAGGAAGGCCACGACUGGCUCAAUGCUGCUGCGGCCAACGUGCUGUGAAGCUUCAGCAUCAAUUUAAGCUGGAAGCAGCAAUGUAAAGAUUGUUCCCAGAACCUUGCAAUGUUAGGUCUGAGAUUUACCUUUGUAUAAAUUCUCCAUUAUUCUCUGAAUCAAUUUGAUAAAGUUGGCUUAGUCAAAGCCUUGUGGGAUUUUUAUCAUGAAGUUUUUUUUUUCCACAGACUUCUUAGGGUUCUCAGUCAUACUGGAGAAAGAUAAAUGAGGCUGGUGAAAAAAUAAGCCAUGAUUAUGAGGAGCCUGACCCUGCAAACUAUUUGUUCUCUCUUAUAACCUUGCAGGUCUGGCUUCCUGUUCCUGACCAAGGGAAUGAGAACCAAAAGCUUCAGUCAAUGCUGUGUUACGUAUAUGGGUUUCUGCUUCUCUUAUACUAACUCUGUUAACAUGAAGCAUACAACCGAUGUUUUAGGUGUUGUUUUCCUUCUUCUGAAGGCCUGCUAAACUGAGAACAGUUUAUUCAAAGCAAAAUAGCGUUUGGAUGCCAAAAGAGCAGCAAGGAAAAUGGCUAAAAUAACCCUCUGAUCUCCUUCCCCUUCCCCACUCCCACAAAACUAAAAUCAUUCUGUACCUGAAACAGUCUUUCUGCCCAUGCCUCUGUUAUAUUGCUGUCUAUAGUGGAAGAACUGUAUUGCUUGCUCUGGUCCCUGACUCUCCCUGACUCCAUCAUACAGUGCAUCAAAACAGGAGCCAGGAACUCUGGCACUAAAUGGACCACAGGUCUUGUCACUGGUGCAGUUCAGAGCAGUUUCUGGCAUGUUUUUAGCCCAGGACUACUGCUUAUUCCACAUUCAGUUUACGAAUUUAACAGUAUGAAUGUAGGCCUUUGUGCCAGACAGCCUCAGAGCCAGAAAAUGGUCUCAGGCACAUUUCAAUUCACAGUAUAGAGGUAGCAUUCAGGUCAAAAUGUGUUUUUACACUUCUGUCAGCUUUCUGAAAAGCACCACUUAGAAUCCCUCUUUCUAAGACUGUUAUUUUAGACUAUUAAAUUGCAUAGACUUCUGGAUUUUAAAGCUAAGAUAAACUCAAGACAUUAUUUCUUAGGCUGAAAGAAGCAGUUCAAGUGUGGCAUGAAAAUAGGACCAUGAAAUGAAGAAGAAAAAUGAUAAAUUUACAGCAUACUCAGAGAUUGCUAUACCCAAAAGCAAUUCAAAGAGCAGAAGAAACUUGAAUUACUGUGGGAAUACAAGAAAGGCUAUUCAGAGCAGAAGCUGUGUAGCAAGAUAAAUGGCGUGAGAAAGCAAUGCUGAGAACCAAGGACAUUUCCACAAGAAGAGAAAAAUGAAGUCAAUUGAAUGGAUCUCGUCUAUUGUGUGGCAAAAUAUUGAAUUCUUAGAGGAGUAUCUAACACUUAGAAGUGGACGUAUCUCUUGGCUUUUACUGAAGAAAAAUUGAAAUUUCCCCUGUGCAACAUGGAUUUUUUGAGUAAAACUGAUUUUUUUCUAAUGUAAAUACAUACUGAUUGGAAAGCUCAAUUAUCUAUAUGUACAUAUUUACUGAAUGAAAGAAACCUCUCUCCCAAAAUAGACAACAAUAGGAACAUUUUUAUUUAUAAAGAUAGAAUAUAAUGAUUUUGGCUGUUAUUAUGUACAGUGAUACACAUUUGGUAACCUUGAAAAAUGAAUAUAUUGUUCUUGAGCUACUGCUAAUGUGUUAAGAUGCUUGCAGCAGUUAGAGACAUGUUUGCUGUACAAAUGGCAAGGGCUUGUAUAAGUUUGUUUCGUAAUGUGUUGCUAUCUUUCACUAACAUGUAUGUAAUACAAAGGAAUUCUAGGUGGGAAUUCUAUCUGUACAGAGAUUGCACAGCAUCAUUUCAUUUGCAUCAAUUUAUGUCAUGCUCUUUUGAAAAAACACUACCUUCUUAUCUACAAAUAGAGGUAGAGGUUUGCUUAGUACCUGAUUUCUUGUUCAGUUUCUUCAAGAAGAGACAGUUAAUUUUGAAUAGUGUCAUCUUUUCAAAAAGAGAACAAAGUAUGAAUUAAAAAUACUAUGUGAAGUAAUACAAACUUUCAAGGUAAAAAACAAAACAAAACAAAAAUGACAACAACAACAACAACAAAAGCAAGCAAGCAAGUAUACAGCUUCUUGCCCUUGCAAAGUGGGAGCCAUCAUUUUAGAAUUCUUCAAAUCAUGUCAUCAUUUCCUAUAAUAUCACAUAAUGGCCAGCUGGCACACUGAAAUAAUGAAAUGUUGACUCUACUGAAUAUUAAGAGUGUUAUUCUUAUUAUGAAGGCCAUUGUUAGUGCAUAUAGAAGCUCUUAAAGAUGCAAAUCUUUGUUACUUUUCAACAGCCUGCUUUAGAAAAAAGAAAUUCAAUGGAAUGUAGCACAGCCUUGUUGUUAUAAUAUAUCUUGUAAUACAUACUUUUUGUUACAUCAAAAGCUUCUCAGAUGGUCAAAGACAAAAGACAUAAUUGAAUUACAUAUUUAAUUUGUUUUAACGAGACACCUGUAACUGGGACACUUUAAGGUACGAAACAUAAAUCUUGUGUACAUAGAGCAGAAGAUUGUUUUCUAACAAGAAGUCAAAAGUAGCAGGUUGGGAACCAUUUUUCUCUUUUUUACUUAAAUAUAGCUAAUAUCAAACAUUAACAAUUACUUCUAAUAAGAAGCACUGUAAAGUUAUGAUUGGAAUAAAAUGGCAUUUGUUUUUAAUAAUGCAUAUGAUAUAGUAUGAUAUUAAGGUUGGAAGUAAUUCAACGCACAGAUUAUUUUACUUUUACAGUCAAAGAGUACAUCCUUCUCUCUCCAAUCUUUCCACACUACGUGGCUCAAAGGAAAUCAUACAGGUAUUUCAUAGCUCUUAAUGUUUAAAUCCCAGUUCAUGCACACGGUUAUUCUUGUGAAUCUAUGGAUUUAUCCAUAUCUAUGAAAUUAAACAAAUGCUUUAGGCUUUGUUGGAAGGGAAUGCAUAAAUUUUUACUAUCAAAAAUGGAAAUUGAUUGAAGUUUGUAGAGAAAAACAGUUUUUUGUUUAUUUUUGACUAAACUAUGUGUUGGUCCUAUGAAUGUGUCUCACUAAUAAUUUGAACAUCACAUCACAAAAAUACUACAACUUUUUAAAAGAAAAAACAAAGCACAUCAAGCACACAAACAGAUCUGUAAGUCACAUCUCAGUUACAGAAGUUUUGCAUGUGCUUCUUUCAUUCUUACUUUGUGAACACCUCAGGACAAUUUACAUACAAAUUUCUUAAUAUGUUGUUUUAAAGAGUAAGAAAAUGAAGUUGAAAUUCUCCUUUAAUUAUUGCCCUCAGCUGACUGGGGCUAAAGUGGGACUAGUGUCCAAACAAUAACUUAUUAUUUUUUGUGUGCUCUAUACCAGCCACUGCCUGACGUUCAGACUACUGCUUUGCAGCAGAAAGAAUAACGAGUUAGAAAGACAAGGGCAGAAGGUAGAGGGAGAGGGAUAUUGGGGUAGAGCUGGCAGAGAAGCUAGAAAGAGUAGAUGGAGAGCAGAGGAGACUUGCUGGGAGGAGUUGGUGGGAAUCCAGGUCACUGAAGGAUUUAGGGGAUAUAAACAAAUCUAGAGAACCAAAAGUGGAUUCUGUAUAUGUCUCUGGGACUGAAUGAGCAAGAAAAUGAUUGGCAUUAGGAAAAAGUGGCUUGAUAGUAUGGCUGGGACUGGCAGGGUGAAUAGAACCAGCAUAGACAAGGGCAAAGGCAGGGCAGAAAUUUUGUGCGUGGAGACUAUGCACUGUCAGAGCUUAUUUGGAAGCCCAGAUCCAUAAGUCUUAAUAGCCUUGUUUUGAGCAAUCCUGAUGCUGUGAUGGUUUCCAACAGGAGUAAAGCUAAAGGAGCCCAAUUUUUUAAAGUCUUAUAGGGGGAAUAAGCAGUUUCCUGUAGCUAUAGCAAAGGCUUUAUUUCUAGAGCAAACUAGUAAGAAAAAGGAAAUGGUAUAUCAUCCUGAAAGUAAACUGUAAAAUGUAUAUCGUAUUGCUGCUGAAUGUUGCCAUAACAGCCUUCAUUUCAUCAUGUAAUAACUUCUUUUAGCAUACUCUCUUGGAUUAAUUCCUUUUAAAACUUUGCGUUUGAAAAUAUUGAAUGUAGUUGCGCCCAGUUUUCUCUCCUUGGUUUCUUCAUCUCCUUCUCAAGAUAAAAUUACAGCAAACUCUGUGACUCUGUGCCAUGCUGAAAGCUACAUGAACAUUUAAUGACUAUAUUCUCAUCCAGACAUCUAAUGGACUGAAUUUUUUUUUUUUUUUUUGCUCAGGAUCACACAGGAUGUCUUUGGCAGAAUUUUAUUAGCUAGUUGCUAUGCCAUUUUGUCUUUUUCUCUGAAGUCAGAAAUAGGUCCUCCUUCUAUGAUUAUUUUAUUCCAUCAGCAAAUUCUAUUCUGAAUUAGAAUUAUUUUGUUCUAUUGUUCCAGAAUUGUUCUAUUCUGUUCUAGAAUUGUUCUAUUCUGAACAAUUAUUCCUCUUGAGACAGCGGAAAGUGAGCCUCAAUAUAUGGUGAACCCAUGGUGUUUGGAAAUGUUUAAUUUCUUCACUUCAGUUCACAAUCACUCUAGGGAAUUUCUGAGAAGGACCAAUAACUAUUUAGCAUCUAGAACUCAAAAACUUGCAGCAAACUUCUACUGCUAAAAUGGCUAGUGACCAUAAGAAUGAAUGUAUGGUCUACUGAGAGCAGCAGGCACUUCUUUCAUUAGCCUGAUAGAAAAGUAUUUCAUAAAUAUAUAGUGCUCUGCAGUUGAUGGAGUCUUCACAAAAUGCUGGUAGUUUUAAUGCAGAUUGCUACAAGAUUCCAUUAACUCACUGGUGAUGAUCUGAUUUUUUUUUUUUUUUUUUUUUACAGUGUAAAUGUGUUUUUCUUCUACUUUCUGAUUGGUAUGAAAACAAAUGAAUGUGUGCAGAUGCUGCUUUUAUGCCUGAAAUUAGCAGAACACCAUGCUUUCUCUCUCUUCAUUAUCAUUUUGAAUGAUCGCAACUUUCUAGAUUCAAGAAUAAGAAUGGAUUAAUUUGUAAAAUCAGAGACCCAAUCUCACAAAUACUUUAGGUGCUCCUGCUUCUUUGUUCAUGGCACAGAAGUUGAAACAUACAAAUUUUGAUAAAGGUUUAGUAACAAAUUGGGAGUAAUCUAUUGUCUGUUUCUACAAAGGAAAAAAAAGAAAACAUUGAAACACAUUAAAAAUAUGAAACUCUUAGAAGGUCAUUUAUAACAUUCAAUGCAGUCUUAAGUAGCUGACAAUGAUCGUAUGCUUACUCCUCUGAAAGCAAGAGAUGACUACAUCUUUCAGGCAAUUAAUUCAAAGACUGCACCUUAAAUAUAUGACUGUUUGAAAAAGCUUUCAGUACCGCUAAGUAUCCCGAGAAUAUAGCAUGUUAUAAUGUGUGCAAAACAUGGAGUGAUUUGACAUCUAACUUUGGAACCUGAACCUCCGAGCUUAGCCUUGCAAUUUCAGUCUCUACUGCCCUGUUUUCCUACAGUGACAUAAACAGAAGAUGGCACUGUUUAUUCAUUUGUCUGAAAAUAAAAAGAUAUUUUCUGUUCUUUCAAGGAAAAAAAUAAAUGCUAGUAUACAAGUAAAACAGAAAAGAAAAUGGAGGUGAUCAUGCUUUUGGAGAAAAUGAUACUUUCUGCUGAGUCAGGACACAUGCUUAUAAAAGCUGCAGUAUUGUCAUGGCUCAGAGAAGAGCUACCUUUUGGUGUGACAGCUGUAUAAAGUUCAAAGCCUCUGUGAAACAGGGGGCAUGAAAUACAACAUACAGAGAUCAAACACCAGAGGAGGAGAGGGCAUGUAUUAAAGUUGUUUUUUGUGUACUGAAAAAAAAUACUAUGAGAACAUAAUUAUACAAAAAGAUGCAUUUGAUAAUUGGCUUGUUAAUACAGGUAUCAUCCAACACAGGGAGUUUUCUGUGGAGAUGCAUGAUUGUUUUUUUCACCAAGGGAAGCCUUGGAAUUAACAAAGGGGCUCCUGAGCUCCUGGUCUUAUGAACAUCCACAUACAUGUUUUCAAGUCCUUUAUUUUAUGAGGGAACAUAAAAGGCCCAGAAUGUCAUUUUUGCAAAAUCAGAGUCUUGAUCUACAAAUCAUCCAAUUCUUGGAAAAAAAUAAAAAGAACGUAUUAAGACAGGGGCUGUAUUAAUAGUUCACUGCAAAUAUGUGUUAAUAUAGUACUACUUUAUUUCAGUUAAUGAAAAUUACUGUUAUCUAAUCUGAAAGUUUAUUUUGAGAAAGCAGUAGAUACUUUAUAGAUAAGCCUACACUCUUACACUUAAAUUAUUAGCUGUAGUUGGAGUUAAACUGAAUAUCUCCAAGAGCUUCUAACUAACACAAAGGUGGGUGCAAAGGGUGUUAUCUUCCCAUUAGCUCCAGUACUCCCUUUAUAGGUGGCUGUUGGCAAAGAUAAGAAGACUGUCCACAGGAAAGCAGGAAAUUUAGUUGCCAUUUGGGAAGUUUUACUGCUAAUUUUUCUUUUGCUUUUUUAUUUGUUUCUUGAUAUAAAUCCUAACUCUUGAGGACUGGCACUUUUGAGUAUUGCUGUGAUUUCCUGCUCAGUUGUUUCACUUAUCAAAUAGCUUCUCUUGUGUGACUAGAGCUAUUGAUCUGAAUAAAGUAAAGCAGGAUUUGGCCUAGCAUGAAAGUAAUCUUCAGGAUGUGAAUAAUACGAGCAAGCUGGAUUUUAAUUUGGAGAAGACUAUAAACUAUUUUUAUUUUCAAGCAAACAUAGCCAGCACAAUUCUAGAAAAGAAAUGCUAUUAAAUGUUUGCCAAAAUAAAUGGGGUUCUGUGAUCUUUUGGUAAUUGCUUAUGGUAUUGAAUAAGAUGUCCUGUUUUUCUUUGGAGAGUUUUCAACAGUUCAUUAAAAGAGCAGCACAGAGAGUUUGUGAUAGUCUAUGAAAAUGCUUGUAAUUCACUCCCUUUUCAGACUGAGAUAAAUCUGAAAUACGCCAUGCUAGUGAAGAGCUGAUUGAAGCUGAGCAUAUUUUCCUCUCUUUUGGUUACCACUGAAAGAAUGAGUGGAUUUUAUGGAACAAAUGUGUUUUCAGAAUUGAAGUGUGGGCUUUGGUGUAUUACAUGUCUCAAGGAACUUGAAAUGGUACUGUAAACUAUGUUCAUUUGCCCUUGUCCUUCAUUUCUUCUUAGUAGGAUUUUUCUUAUCCAUGACAGCAGUGUUAUUUAUAAAAAGGUGUUAUGGAAAGGAAAUAACUUAUGAGAAACCAAACAAGCAAAAACUCAUUUUGCAAGUGCAAGCUGAGAAAGAUACUCAUGCUAGGAGUACUUCCCAUAAGACUGUGUGACAGAAAAGGGCUUUAACCUUGUAACAAAUUAAUGUUUAUACUUGAAAGUCUUCCUGUUUUAUGUUUAAUUAUAACCUUAGAUCUGUAUUUUAGGUUUCUAAAUUUUUGGAGGCAAGCCAGUUUUGCUUUUAUUACUAAGCUUUCAAAGAGAUAGUUGGUUAAAUCUUAGGUAAGAAGACUGAAUUAUACAAUAUUAUAUAGAAAUCACUUUUUUAAUUUGAAAUCAAUAUUGCAAGAGGAGGAUUUUGAAGGAACAUUUGCCACACAAACCUAAGUUUCUUUUGAAAUUCUUGAUCCCAACUACCAACCCCCAGAGGUAACGUUCUACCUUUCCUAAUUUAUGUCAUAUUUUGCUGGAAUAAGCGAAUUGCCUUCUGUUUUCUUCUUUGUAAUCACUAGAAAAUUGAACUUUGAAUGUUAUGACCUAUUUCAAUGUAGCUGAUUGCUUGGCACAGAAUUCUAGUACAGUCUAUUGUGUACUUGUGAGAUAUACUUUUUGGGAAAGGAAUACAUAUGUGAAUCAAUGUAUUUCAUGGAUUUCCUGUCUAAUUUCAGAAUGUAUUAUAAUAUUCUCCUUGUAACAAAAGGCUAAUAGUCUAAAUGAAACUGCUUAAGUCAGUCCAGCCAGCAUGCUGUGCACCAACACCUUUGCUCUACAGAAAAUAUCAGAGAAGUUCAUCCAUUUGCCUACGCCUCACUGUUAAUACAUUAUGGCUAUUACCUAAGGUAUUGCUAUAGGAACUUCCAGAAUCUGUUUAUCUUGAAUACACAAUGGGUUUUUUAAGAUUUUUUUAAACACUCUUAGAAUCCUAUCAUUUUUGGAUUCGGAUCACCUUUAUCCUUGCAAGACAUACGUGCUUAUGGGUCACAUUUACAUUUGCAUGUGUGGGCUGAGAUGUAACUUGGUAUUACAUAGCUGCACACUCCUGAGUUACAAAAUAAGGCCAUGUGCAGGUCCUAAAGGUAAUGUUUCUUUUAGAAAUACGUACUUAUUUUCCCUUCUUUGCAUAGGGAAGGGCAUGGUCAAACUGGACUCUUACAAUAUAGUUACUGUGGCAGAAUUUAUCUUUCCACUGUUCUCCAUAAGCUUUUUAACGUCUUUGUCCUUUCAGAAGGACUCUGAAAUAUGGAGAGAGAAAAACAAAAACAAAUGAAAACAAAUCAGCAAACUUUCCAGCAGCUCCUGUAAGGAUUUCAUCAGCUUUUACAACCAGCUUUUAGCUCCUCUCUACACUUCGCUCACCUGGGACUUAGAAGAACUACAGUAGCUAGGAUUUUCCCUGUCCAAGCUGUGUAAGACUCUAGCAUUGUGUAUCCAGGCCACUUGGAUUUAUUUGCUCAUGUUUUUAAGAGGAAGAAAAUGCCUAAAUGACAUCUAAGGAUACAUUUUAUUUAAAACAAACAAAAAUCACAGCAAUAAUCUUGUUGCAUCCAGAAUGAACUUCAAAACCUUCCUGUGUUAUCAUUUGCCCUAUGUAAUUGCAAUGUCUGUUUUUACUGCACUUUUCUACUCUGAUGCACAACAAAAUUAAUUUCACAAUGACAAAGGAAAUCUUGGCCCUGAGCUUGCUUAAAGCCAUCAUGAGUCUGAAUCCUGCAGGAGUUUCUGCCAGAGGGGCUGAGAGUUGCAAUGAAUGGACUACUUAACCUGUGAACUAGUAGAAAAUAAUGUUGACCUCCAGCUAUCCAAGCAGUAUAUUUACUAAAUAAAUAAACUGUAAGGAAUGCCCUUCUAUUCCAGGGUCAGGUCAAUGUACAAUUUUAGGUGAAAAAUAAUGCUAUUUAUGGUUUUCUCCCUGUAAGUAAAUCUAAAUUUACUAUGUAGCUAGAUGGAAUUCAUUCAGUAAGUGUAUCAAAGACUGUAACUAACGAUUAUUUUAUGAAUUUCUUUCUGUGGUUGUACAAUCAACAAAUAUACAAUCAGCAAAGUGGCAUGGUUAGGCUGGUAUUUUACAGGAUUGUCACGGUGGAAAGGGAUAAUUGAAAAUAAAUGAAAAUGCUCACCCAUAUCCUAGGCUUGCAGAAAAUCACCAAAAGGAGCAAUCUCCAGAAAGAGAUGCUUCCCCCAUGACAGCCAGCCCUCAGAAGGGGUCUAGGAGAGGUGGAACCAGGCUCCAUCCCUUCCAGCCAUACAGUUGAAUUGCUUUCACCUGUUCUCCCACAGCUAACUCAGUGCUUGCCUCAGGUGAUCAGUCAGUGGUUCAGGCUGUAAUUCAACAUUCCCACACACUCCACUACUUCACAGUAUGAACCAACGAUCAGGUUAGCUAGAGGGUGAGCCUUCUCUAAUACAGAGAUCCAAUACAUCAUGAUGCUUAUACAAUUGCUUGUUGCGAUGCAUAUUGACACAAUUUAAGACAAGUGAUGAUCAGCAUAUGGUGAAAGUUCAUGCUCUUUUAUGGGCCAGUACUUGGUGGUGUUACUGGAGGCACGUAGUCGUGUGGUACAGGAUCAUCCUAUGCUCCAUCAGUCCCAUGUAGACCGUCACUGGGUGUCACACAUGAUCUGACAGCAACACUAGAAUGCUUUGAUGGCAUUUUGUUCCAGUGAUCCUAGAGGCUCAAAGACUCACAGGGAGUAAAAUAGAUAUUUCAGAGGUACAAGGAGGGAAAGGUCUGACUUCCAGGGCAGGAUACAGGCCAUACAUAUAUCCUGGGUCAACACUUCAACUUGUACCAUGGUAUGUCCCAGCCACCUGUACCAUACCUUUUGGCCAGAUGUCUGUGGCUGCAUAACUAUAUCAGGUACUAAAGGGGGUAUUCUGAUCUGCCCUAGGGACACAAUAGCAGUCCCUUUAGCGAUGAAGAUUGUAGUGUUGACCACAAUAUCUGUAGGCUAUAUACCUAUUAUUGAAGGGACUACUGAUCCUCCCAGCUUCAGUAAUCUCCUCCAAAGCACAAGUAUGCCAUACCAUUUGGUCCUACCUCCACCUUCCAAGGCCAUUUUAUUCUAUGGGGGCCCAGAUCUAAAUUCUCAGGGGCAAAGAGCAGAUUAUUUUCAUUGCUAGUCUAGGGUCUUACUUGAUUACUGGUACCCAUAAUUUGGACUCUAAGUGGAGAGAUCCAUGUUGCCUGUAGCAUUUUCAAGGUACUGGAUCUGCUAUCUCUAGGUCUUUCAUUCAGGUCCCUCAGGGUUUCAUAGAGUCUCUUCAUCCACCCCUGCAGGAAAAGAGAGUCUGCCUUCAGGGCUACUAUAAGAAUACUGUUAUGAUGUUCAACGAGGCCUGCCCCCAUUGGAUUAUAGGGCAGGUGAAAGCUUUGAGUGAACCCUCCAGAAAGAAAUCUUUCCCCAGUGGCAGUCAGCCCUUAAAUGGGGUCUAGGAGAGGUGGAGCUAUGCUCCACCCCUUCCAGUCACACAGUUGAAUUACCUUCACCCACACUCCCAUGGCUGACUCAGUGCUUGCCUCAGGUGAUCAAUCAGUGAUUCACAGGUGAUCCAUCACCUUUUCUUAGUUUCACUGGUUGUUAAAAAGGGAGCAGAUCAGGCUGGCUUGCUCAUCUCCAGCACCUUUUCUGAUGUGAUGAGUCUUUCCUCUUCAGUCUGCAGAGCAACAGCAGGCUUUGGAGGCAGUCUCCCUCUAGCUUGCCAUGGUUAUUUAGAAUUACAGGCACACAUCUGGGAACAUUUCUGCCACCUCAGGCAAGUCUGGUAAUGUCAUUCAGAUAAGGGAUUGGAAUAUGGGUCUGAGUUUGCACCUGACUUGGCAUUAUGCUUUAGUGUUCCUAGUAACUACUACAAACUUAUUUGAACUUUCUUCCUAAACAAGUUUUUAGCUAGGCAGAUGCCCCCACCAACUCUCCUGUAUUCUACUGUGCAUUCCUUGAGACAUACAGGCUUCAGCAUAACACUUAAAGAAAAAAAAUCCCUGCCAACUCUGACUGCAAAUUCACAUUACAUUAAAAGCAGAAUGGAAGAUUAGGGUACUAAAAAAAAACUUUACAAGCUAAACAAACCCUUACAGUAAAUAGGUUUGCAAAGAAAUCUGUCUUUUUCUUCUUAAAUUGCUUCAAAGAUGAAAGUUCCUUGUUGAUGGUUUAAGGGCUGGUCCAGCCCGGUUCCAUGACUAGUGGGGCGGAGGGCUUUCGCAAAAUCCGCACCUCUAGGAAGGGAAACAGGGGACCCCAAAAUAAUUUAAAAACAGCGGCAACGAUCUGAAGAGAAACAAACUAAUUUACUAAAUAUAGUAUCGGAAUGUAAGAUAACACACUAUAAUACAAUGUAAAUCAACAAUAAUUGAGAGAAAGAUUGUCCAAGAGCCAAAGGACUUACACUAAUACUGAAGCCUUGUGCGCAGUCGGAAGCAACAGUAGCGAGCUGAUCCGGUAGGGAACAUGGCAAGACGAGAAGAAGGCUGAGUCAGAUGACCUGCACCCUUAUAUCUAUUCCCUUGAGCAGGAAUGAUAACAGUAGUCGAAAAGACUCUUGGGGAACGCAGUUCUUCUUCUCUUCCAGACAGGUACAUGAAACUAAAGCAUUUGCUCUUUAACUCCCAGUACAAUGCAUGAUAUUGUGAUGUGCAAUACUGAUAACCAGAAAUCAUAAAACCAUGACAUUCCUGUUUUAAGAUUCUGGAAAAAUUAUCUUUAUAUAAAAUAAAUAAAUAAAUCUGGAACUGAGUUCAAGUAGAAGGAAUAGAAUGCAUGAUUCCAAAUUUUACGUGUGUCAUACAAUAGGUUUGUAUAUAUUGCAUAGAAUUCUGUAAAGUAGCAAGACUUGAUUAAGGGGAAACAUACACAGCAACUUUCUGAAGACUUGGCUUCUAAUCGUACAGCUUCUAAUCAUACUGUUAUCAACGGCUUUUCUAACAAUGGGUGCCAUCUUUUUAUAGAGCUGAUCAAUAACGAAAGAAAAUAUCCUACAUUUUCUUCUAAAAAGAAGUAACACAUUAGCUUGCUUUGUCACGGCCUCCUUAUAUUGGUAAAAAUGUCUGAGAAAUUAUACAGGGUCCAUUAUUUGGAAAAUCCAUUGGGAAAAUGGUAGCAAAGAUGAAAUAAUAAUGAAUAAAGUUACAAUAUCUAAAAUUGGGAAACAGAAACUAUGUCCUGUUGUUAAGAGAAUUAGUGUCUUCUAUGAAUACAGAGUCUGAAUAUGUUUAGUGUUGCUAUGUGAAACAAAACUUCAGGAUGUAAAUUUUUUCUCUCUCUUUAUUUGAGGGUAAAACCAGGAUUUCUUGUUGUCUGUGACAUUUUUAACUUCUACCAUCAAAUUUUGUAGAGUUCUCCCAAGAUUAUGAAUUUUCAUUUUCCUCAUGUGCCUGUAUCAAGGAGCCAGGAUGUCUUCAUGCCAUGAGGUGAAAGACAAAGUCCUCUAAAAUUUAUUCUUUGAGAAUCCAUCUACAGUUAAGGUUUGAGACAGUCUCCAGCCCAGAGAUUCAGGGCAUCUUUGUGUAUUCUGUUCAAAAUAAUCAAUACUACAGUUUAAAGGAGACAAGGGAGAGACCAAGUGAUGAUCAACAGCAAAAUCCAUGACCAGGGCUCUCUAUAAAGAGAGAAGACCUUGGCUGUGCAUGACUUCCCAGAUCAUGACAAAAGAUAAUCGAAGUGGCAGCAAAAGCAAAACUCCUUUGAACAGUCUUAGAGCAGAAGGAGGAUGCUACUAGUUUCAGCACAAUUUGGUGUCAUUACUCAUCUCUCUUUCUGUGGGAAUGUCUGGUCUGCCCACAGCUGUGCUAUAAAUCAUAAUUAGUAUCAUGAAUAUUUUUCCUUCACAGCAGUUAAUGAACUAAAUAUCAGAAGUUUAUUACUUUAUUAGAGAACUGUUACAACCUUUGAACACAAUAUGUUGUUUAAAGCAAAAAUGAUGAUGAAUAUUCACUAGGAACUUUUUUAUUUUAUUUCAUUUCACUUUUUUUUUCCUUUCUAUACACAAGAUGUAGCCACUUUUAUUUGUCUGAAGGUGACAAAAGAAGGAAACACUACACAGGUCAGUGGAGUUAAUGUGGGAUUGAACUGAAUGGAGAACUAGGUUUGUAAUGUAGCCCUGAGUCUGCCUUUUCAUUGUUCUUAUGCUGGUAUCACUACUGAUUCAGAGUUGUUUUUCAUUGGUAUUAUUCAAACAGGUAGCACCUCCACACAGAAAUUACCCUGGGAUCCUGGUGGAUGGCAAAUUUAAUGUGAACUGUAGAGAACUCUUCUGGUGAGAAAGACCUGCAGUAUACUGACUUGCAUUAGUUCAGUGCAGACAGCAGAUCAAGUGAAAUAAUUGCUCCCCUUCAGUCAAAUGCUGUGAUGCUGUAUCUGAAUGAGUUCCGUCGUGGUCUUCACAGCCAAGAAAGGUAGUGACAAACUGCAGAGAGCCCAGGGAAGGGUUAUUAAAUAUAAACCAACCAUUUGGUUAGUGGUGUACUUCCAUGGGGACAGGCUGAGAGAACUUGAUUUGCUUAGCCUGCAAAGGAGAAGGAAAAUUCUAAUUGCUAUUGUUAACAGUGUUUUUGGCUAGAGAGGAGACAGAUAGCAUCAGACUCUUAGAAGUAAAAUGCAAGAUGACAGAAGGCAGUGUUCAUAGGUUGCUACAGGGGAAAUUCUGAAUGGAAACAAGGAAGAAAAUCUUCACAAUAAAGACAUCUGAAUGCUAGUACUACUUGUGCAGGGGGGAUGAGGCAUCUCUACUCUUGACAAAACUCAGAACUUUUCUGAACCCAGAUCUGAGACUCCUGGUCAAACUUUGAAGUUUGCCCUGCUUUGAGCAGGCGAUUAAACUGAGUGACCUACAGAGAAGCCUCCCAGCUGAAGCAUUCUAGGAUCCUUUGAUCCUGCACAUACUAGCCAUUGGCUGGAGGAAAAAAAUAAGACAUUUUCUGGCAUAUACAUACCAAAGUUUUAGUCAGCUCAGUUGUGCUGUGACCAAAUUUGGUCAUUGCCUACUAAACUAAUCUUGGUGUUUGAUAGUAUCUCUAAAUAAUUUCUGGUACAUAGCAGAGAGCAUAUUUUUAGGUUUCUACAACAAAUAAGGAGCAGGGUGUUUUCUAAUUAUACAGAAGGAACUAUGGUCUACUAUGUAUUAAAGGGGACAUCAGCUUGUGAAAAGUCCUCCCAGCUUGACAUAAGCAUUUCUGUUUUCCUCCCUGUGUGUUAUACGUAAUCACAUCUCUAGAAUUUUGACUUAAUGUGGUAUGGAUAACUUCACAUCUCAGCUGUUGAGACUGAUUAAUACAUACAUUCAGCAGUGUUUGAUAAAGAUUUCUUCCUGCUGUAAAUAUCCACUAUAUAUAAAUAUCCACUGUCCAAAUGAAUACUGUUGAAGUAAUAAUUCAUUUCAAAGUAGACUAAGCAAAUCUGAGAUUAUAUUGAAUUGUCUCCAGACUCCAUUAAAAGCAUAGUACAUGGUAUCAUUUUCACUCAGAGAGCCACCAGGAAAUGAAGCAAUCUGCUAAGCUCUCAUUUCUCAUUUUUUAGCAACUGUGUUUAUGUGGAUUUUUUGGGAAAUAAUAGGAAUUAAGAGACAAGGUUUGCAUUCUCAGCACGUGAUCCUGAGUAGGUCAUUUUUUUAAUCUCCAACUCACUCUGUAGAGAAGGUAUUUACAUGUAUUUUUAUUUUAUGACAUUCUUGAUUUAUGGAUUGAGAAGAAUGCAGUGUAUGAGUUAGAUCUUAUAAAAACAACAUUAGAAUUGACAUUGAAAAUGCAGCCAUUUAUGAAUUCAGUAUUUAGUCAAUACUGCAUAUGGAAUUUAACAGCAACAAUAUCCAGCCAGAUGUGAUUUCCUCUCAUUUUAUAUUGCAGGGUAGGGGGAAAUGUAUGCAACUAAAACCAAACCUUGUAAACAGCAACAGCAGCAACAACAGACUAAUCUGUGGAAAGUUAAUUGAACCAUUCCAAGCACUUUAGGAUGUCAAAAUCUUUAAAGCUGAAAAAUAGGCAUUCCCCUCAAAUGGUCUCUCUCCUGCUGGUAUAGAACACCUUGAUGUAGAGCUGUAGGGUUUAUUUGUGCCACAGAGCAUGUCUGUUACUUUGUAUGUGCUGCUGAAAAAUGUGUUAGUAUUUAAAUAUUAGCACAAAAGAAUGUUAUAUUUCCUGCUCUAACAAGAUCAGUUUCGAUAAAACCAAAUUUAUUCAUUCUUUUCUAUCCAUAUCUUGCAGCAUCAUUUUGCACUUCUCUUAGAGACUACACUACAGCAAUGUGAUCUGUGGUAGUCCUGUGAGCCCCAGGACCUUGAGUUACUUCCUUGCUGAAUCCAGUGGCAGCCUUGACAAGCAAUCUCGUUAGCAUUAGCCUACAAUUAAAUUGAAAGGAAAGUAGCUAAGCAUGCUUUUAUCUUUCUAAGACUUAUUAAAUUUCUUUCUAAACAGAAACUAUGAAUAAAGGCCUUGUGAUGCUAGCCAGCAGACAAUUCCUCAGAUGUAUAAGUUGAUAUAGACUAGUUAUUAAUGAAAGGAUAGAAAAGAUUAUGUUAAUUACCACCUGGCAUCGUGAGACUCUAAUCGCAUUCAGAAUAUCAAUGAAGCCAAUGAUUUUGAUUGUCAGAGCAAUAAUUUUGAGGGCUUGGUCCUUGGAGAUAUCAUAGUGAAGUCCUCUUCAGAAAAGUCUCAUUUCAUUUUAAUGAAAAUAUUCAAUAUUUGAGCUGAGAUGCAGAUUAAAGUCCAAGCUGAAUGUGAAAUCUAACUCAAAAAGCACUUUAAAAGCCAUCAGAUAAUUGCAAAUUUGGAUAAGAAACCUAGAGACUAGCCCAACAAUCAACUUAGCUGUUUCUUUUAGCUCAACAAAAGCCAGUGACUUCUAAAUAACAAUCAAACAGGUAAAAUUAAUAAUUGAGUCAGCUCCAAAUCUCAGUUCUGACAGCUUAAUUUGAGUAAAAGCUUUAUGUGAACUUUUUUAUCUAAUAGAAAAUGUGGUCUAUUUUAAUACUCAGAUCUAAACUUCUACAGUUAAAAAAAACGGGAAAAAAAUGUAAUUCAUCUCACCAUGUAAAAGCUACCCGUUGCUGCCCUGUAUUAUUCUUAUGAUAACUUGAAUUUUUUGUUAGCUGCUGUCUGUGUCUGAGGUUAUUUUCUAAGAAGCUUUGCCAAUGCUUAAUUUCUACUUACAGGAUGAGUGUAGCAGAAAAUAAUGCAAAUGCCAAAGCAGUUCAAAACAAACACAGCUUUUCUUCUGCCAUACAAACCCAUUACAGUGUUUACCAGUCCACCUGUGGGGUUCUGUUCAUGCUAUUUGUUAAUCAGCCCACGCUUCCAAACCCAAAAGUGAAUUUUAAUCUUUUUAGAGCUGUGUUUUCUUGGAAUUAUUAUCUGCACCCCCUCAAAAACAAAACAAACCCACAAAAAUGUGUGAUUCUUGAUGUAGAGGAUUUCAGCUACUGAGGGAAUGUUAGUUGGCUUACCUAAGGUACUUUCUGUGGAAAGCCUUGAUGUUGUCCAUUUUGAGACCACCAAUUGAGUAGGUCAGUAUUCUCAAAUUAAAAUAAUUGUUAGAAAAAAAUAAUAAUUGAGGAACACUCCUGGCAUGUUACUGUGCCUAAACUGAACAACACUUCUAUAUCAUUUGAGGGUAGCCAUUUUGUUUUCUAAAUGUAAAUAUCAAGCACCAUGCUGUCUGCUUCCUCUGAAGGACCUAAGCACUGUAAACGUUUAGUGAUUGUAAAGGAAAACAGGGAAAUAUCAUCAGGGGAACUGCUGAUACCUGUAGCAUACGCUGAAGAUAUAAUGGCAAAGGAAACACUGAGUUAUUUUUGAGAUUGUUUUGGGUAGUUUGUAAGCCAAAGGUGAUACAAGAACUGUUAUAAAUAAAUUUGAAUUACUUUGUAGCAAGCAGUAUUCUCAAUUUAUUAUUGAAGAUUUUAUAUAAUGUAAAUUUUCACAAGAAUGAAUAAAAUAGAGUUUUAUUUAUUUACAGUAACAUAACUCCAUUGCCAGUGGACUUCUAAUAUCCAUCUGGAGGUAGGAUAGUUGGGUGUUUUGAUAUUUACAGACAUGAAUAGGUUUCUAAAUUACAUGUGGUGAAUAGAUCUUCUCAGCAUUGUUUGAGCUUGCACAGGCUUUCUCCUUUGAUCCUACAUAUUAGUCUGUUUAGUUCUAGGUUUAGGAGCUCAGAAGAUUCAAAGUGUUGAGGAGAAGGUAUUAAGCUCACGUAUUUAUUAGAUGCCCAAGAGUGAGUUUGUGGAGGGAACUGUAGGGUCAAAGUAACCUCUAUACAGUUUAUCUGUGUACUGUGUAUUAUUCAGGUUACUCACAGAUGAAAAUAAUAGUAAUAAUAAUGGGAAUAUUUGCAUAGAACCAGAAGACAAAUGGAACACAGUGUUGUUAGAGAUUGUCUUGUAGCUGUUAUGUAAACCAAAGGCUCAGUAAAAUAGAAUAAUAACUCCUGUCUGUGCAUAUAUCAAGUAAAUACCUAGAAGCCAAAUUGUUUUGUAAGCUGAAUGUCUUAGGCUUGUGGUUGAGGCAUGCAACUCAGUGAGGUUCUCCCCUGUAUGAUCAGGUUCUGUGACUUGGAAAGUAAAAAUUAGAAACAUAAAGGUGAGCUCAUAUAGAGAACUUAGAGCAAUGUGUAGGCUUGACCUUUGGCGAUGAUUGGCUACUUGAAAUAUGUGAGGGAGAGCGAUAAUCAAGAACGGUCCUUGGCCCAUCACCUAAUUCCCUGCAGUAUCUUUCACAGUGGCCCAUACAGACAUGCAUAUGUAUAAUUUGGAUAAGGAAAUAAACUUAUUUUUUUUCUCUAUCUCUGACAGCUUGAUGUUUGAAAUGAAUGAGUCUGCUGUUCAAGAGACAGGGUAGGGUGCUUUAAUGAGAACACAUGCUUGCUUACAACAAAUAAAUGAGAAAAUACAAUCUCACACAUGUAAGAAUGUAUUAUGAUCUUAGAACUGAACAUCCUGAAAAGCAAUUUUUUACUGUAAAUUGCACACUUGUCUAUGAGCAGAGCAGCCUUUGAUAAAGAGCAGUAAAUAUUCAAAGCAAAAAUACUUUGUUCCUUGUUACAAAUAGCGAUCUAUUGCUAAACUGAAGGCCAAUUAAAGCUACCUACAUGGAUAAUCACAGUUUCUGAAAAAAAAUGUAGGUCUUUCCUCAGCUCAUAGAUUUAUGACCUUGGAUUUUUACUCUGCAGCACAAGGAGCAUCAAUUGAAUUUGUUAGAAAAAUGAAUCUGUAAUAUCACAAAGUUUCAACAUGUUCCUGAACUUUUUUUUUUAAGCAAAUACCCUUUCUGCAGCUCAUAGAUGAGUAAUGUAUUAUUAAAAAAAAUAAUAAUAAAUUACUUAAAAAUGUAGUGAGGGAGUGAUUAAUUUGCAUUUUUAUUUUGGUCCUUGUAAUUAGCAGCUGUUAAUAAUCAAGUCUAACCUGACUCAUUUGCAAACAGAGGUGAGAGAGCUAUGGAGGAUUAAAAUUCUCAUGAUAUUCUAAGAAUUCAGAAAUCCAUGAAGCAUAAUUACCUCUAAGAAAUGGUAGAAAUUGUUAGUAUGAAGCCACCUGACAAAAGGAAUGUUGAUUCAUAACUUUUUCUGAAGACAUAUCUUCUGCGUCUACUUUGAUUAUAUACAGCAAUAGAAAUUUCUGGAAAUUCACUUUUCACAGCAAUGUAAAUAAAGGUAACAGCUGUAUAAGUUUAGAAAAUUUUUUGUUUUCUGGUUUAUUAAAUCAGUAUGGCUCCUUUCAUGUUAGACAAGGAGGCAGUUCUAAGUAUAGUAAAUACAAUCGGGCUUUACUUUAUACUCUAAAUAUAGUUUGUACCACCAGGGAAGAGAGUAACAAUAGCUCUUCUAAAGCUGCCUAGAGAGUGUAAUCAUGACCUCGUCACAAACAAGAUUUGGUGUGCAGAAUUCUUCUGUCUUCAGCUGUUGCUUAGGCAAUGGGUACUGCCAACUCCUACUGCUGAGCUAAAAUAUGGCUUUACUGUGGUUUUGGGCCAAUUACUAGUUGAUGGAGAUUGUUCAGCAGCAAUUAAGAUGAGAUUACACAUGCUUCUGCUUGGAUGCACAAGUUUUCUCCCAACAACCUGGAUUGGUCAUAUGAGACUUUGCUUCUUUGCUGUUACCAGUACUUUUGCUUGCUACUUAAACAUGGGAAUACAAGAAAAAUUGUUCAGAGCAGCAGCUGUGGAGCAAGAUAAACAGCAAGAGAACCAAGGACACCUCUAGAAGAAGAAAGAAUGGCUUGCAGCUCUGAUUGGAUAAACGCUCGCAUGAAUGUUUGAAGAGUGUUUGUAGAAUGCUCUGUUGACAUGUAAAGGAGGAUGGGAAAGCUAGAAAAAGAAAACUUGUGAAGAUAUAUAAUUGAUGUGAGAACUUGUAAUAAACGAUUUGGAUCAUUCACAUCUGAGCCCG
ensembl:lncRNA